rnacentral:rRNA from 1 species
AUACGUAGGUGGCGAGCGUUGUCCGGAAUUACUGGGUGUAAAGGGUGCGCAGGCGGGUCGGUAAGUUGGAUGUGAAAUGUCCGGGCUCAACUCGGGAGCUGCAUUCAAAACUGUCGAUCUUGAGUGAGGUAGAGGCACGAAAGUAUGGGUAGCAAACAGGAUUAGAUGCCCUGGUAGUCCAUGCCGUAAACGAUGAUUGCUAGGUGUGGGUGGUCUGACCCCAUCCGUGCCGGAGCUAACGCAAUAAGCAAUCCACCUGGGGAGUACGGCCGCAAGGUUGA